rnacentral:lncRNA from 1 species
CGAGCAUAGCCGACGUACUUCCUCAGCAGCUGAUGUGGAAUGGCAUCAAAGUUUUCUCCUGAGCCAGUUCUCAUGAGAAGAAUGGGAGACUGAAGACAUCUAGCAAGUCAGGGCUGCCAGGCCCACGGCAAAGAACACCACAGGAACAGACACAGCAAGAGGCACAGGAGGAGUGCUACCUUUAGUCUUUCAAGCAGGGGCCGAUCUGAAACGACUUCAAGAACAGAGCGAUCCUGCACGUUGGUACGGCUCACAACUGCACUGCUGCACACUGCCUGCUUCCCAGCUCGGAUUGCCAUCACGUGCUCUGACAGCAAAUGAUCAUGAUCUUCAUUUGGG